UACGUAGGUGGCGAGCGUUGUCCGGAAUUACUGGGUGUAAAGGGCGUGUAGGUGGGAAUGUAAGUCAGAUGUGAAAUUCCGAGGCUUAACCUCGGCGCUGCAUCUGAAACUAUAUUUCUUGAGUGCUGGAGAGGAAAGCGGAAUUCCUAGUGUAGCGGUGAAAUGCGUAGAUAUUAGGAGGAACACCAGUGGCGAAGGCGGCUUUCUGGACAGUAACUGACACGGAGGCGCGAAAGCGUGGGGAGCAAACAGG
rnacentral:rRNA from 1 species